GAAUAGUGCUACUUUGAGUGUGUUUGGGGCCUUAAUUUGGCAGGAAUUACUCAUCUUUUCAGAGGUGAGAGAAAGAAGAAUGUUCAGAGUUUAGAAGAAUGAGACGAACAAGAGUUGUGGGAAUUCAGCAUAUUUGAAAAUUGGUGAAGACGUUCUGAAGAUUCCUGGGCAAGACUUGAGGAAAUAUUUUGGAACUUGAAGCCAUAUUUACUUUUUGUUCCACCAACAAGCCCAGAGUUUUGGGAUCCCACUUUGUUCUGAAGGGUCAAACAGCAAAAGAGCAAUGCCAACAAAAAUGAGUAAGAAGGCAAAAAAGUGAAACCUUUACCCACAUGAAAAUGGACAGAAGAUGGUGAACGAUAAGACACAUUGGUAAAUAUCACCCAUCCAUCAUAUAUAAGCGGUGACUGUUCACUUCUAACAAGAAAGCUCCUAACAUUGUUAAGGCUAAAUUCCGGGCAUCCAAGCAAUAUUUUGCAGAGUUAUUAAAUUGGCAGCAAUCCCUCUGCUUGGUCACAUAUGUUUGUGAAGAGUAAGGUCAGUAUUUUUUUCCAGGGUGAAGGUUUGACUAAGCUCUCAAACAUUUAAAAUAUUGCUUCUACACUUUAAACCAAUGAUGCACAUGCAUCACAUCACACACAUCAAUUAAGAUCAAGGCUGCAAGCAAGCCUUGUAUGCAAAGAUUUCCCUCAUAAUAUCAGGAUCCUAAGAGACAGCCUGGUCUUCCCUCAGGGUACACAUCCCAUGUCCAGUCUUCUUGAAAACUUGAUUAAAAAUUUGUUUCCAUAUCAUGUGGGAUUUCCUAGAGACCUUCA